UGGCCUUUUUAACUUUUUUGGAUUCGAGCGUCACUGACGAGUCUUUUGUAGACGAAACGCGCGUCGGCGUAUAUACUUAAUGUAGUCCUGGUAUCUAUGAUGAGUUUAUUUACCGAACUUAAUUCUUUAGAUAACCAAACUUUAUCUUCUAGGCUAUUAAGAUUAUUUGAACAAUGAUCACCCCCAUUCAGAUCUAUACGUCAUAUAUUUCAUUAAUUGCAAUUGAAAAUGAACCAAGCAAAGACAUGCUCGUUAUAUGAGCUACUAAAUAAAGAGGGUGGUAGGAGGGGUCCUGAUCCCGAAAUCCCGGGCUUAAAACAUGGAAUCCUGCGGUCCCAGAUUUAAAGAAAUGUAAAUCCCGACAUCCCAAAAUUCGAAAAAAGAAUUCCUGGAUCCCGAAUGAAUCAAUCCCGAAAUCCCGAGCUUAAAAACAUCCGAUAAAGGUCCUACCCCCCCUUUUUUUUCAAUAAACAGCUGCAGCAUUCUGCGACUUUGUACCAGACUGACCAAGCUCAUACAUUGUCCCAUGAAAGGAGAAUUACCAAACAUGAUGUUCAUCCUAUUGUAAGAUACCAGGCUUUCAAAUUAGUAUGCUAGACGCACUUUUCGUUUCGCAAUAUGCAUAAGUGGUGGUACACGAAUCAAAACAGUUUGAAGUCCUAAGUCAAUUGGUAUGAGAUGGAUAGCAUUAAAAAGCGGAAGUUCAAAAAUGUAGAGCCAAAACCGACUUUCUAUGCCUUGUUGGAC
rnacentral:lncRNA from 1 species